rnacentral:lncRNA from 1 species
CACGGGACACCUGCAUCUGCCAACAAGACUGGAAGCAGGGACAGAGACGGCGAAGUUUGACGGUCUGGAAAGCAGAGACCAGCAGGGCUGACUGCUUGGGAGCACGAGGGACAGCUCUCCACCGACCGAAGGAGGAGAAUGCUAUUUAUUUCAGCACCAAAUAUCCGGACAGCGCCUCUCGGGAGGUCCGAGAAGAGAACCGCGAUCUGUUUCAGCACCGGGGCUCAGGACAGUUCCCAGCGGGCUCCGUUUCGUCUCCAGAACCCUGGACAGCUCCUCCAGACUUCGGUGAGAAACCUUGUGCCAAGCAUUUUACAUACAUCAUAUCAUGCCAUCUUCAACCCUAGGACAUGGGUGUUACUGUGCCCAUGUGACAUUUGGGGAACCCAAGGCCCUGAGAAAGGCAGAAAAAUAACCCACGCAGGGACUCUCAGCCCACAAGUGAAGCUGAGAACCGGGAAUGGAAAACAGGGAGGCAGCACAGAGGCAGGAAACUCAGGUGUCAUAGCUUGGCUCAGCCUCAGGGCUUUUGCCUCUGCUGUUCCUGCAGCUUGGAAUGCACUCCCUCCACCUCCAACCAGAGCUCCCCACAACUGACCCUGCCUUCUUCUGCAAGCUCCAUUUCAUCAAGGGAAACGAUCCUUAUUGCCUCACCAUUUCCCACGUGAAGUCUGUAUUGACAUUCUCAUAGACCUGGGAUAUUGUGUCUGCAGCACAUAGUCCAAUUAUUUUCAUGUUAUCUACUGACAGGUCUAUUUGUCUCCCUGUUACACUGUGAGCUCCGUGAGGGCAGAAACAAUGUUAGUAUUUUCACUGCUGUGUCCCCAGCGCCUGGUCCGGGGCCCGGCACACAGCAGGCAUAUAAUAAGCAUGUGUUGAAUCAAUAAAGGCAUCAAAGAAUAAACCAAUACAUCAAUCAAUAAA